rnacentral:rRNA from 1 species
AACGAACGCUGGCGGCAGGCCUAACACAUGCAAGUCGAGCGAGGACUUCGGUUCUAGCGGCGGACGGGUGAGUAACGCGUGGGAAUGUGCCCUUCUCUACGGAAUAGCCCUGGGAAACUGGGAGUAAUACCGUAUACGCCCUAUUGGGGAAAGAUUUAUCGGAGAAGGAUCAGCCCGCGUUGGAUUAGGUAGUUGGUGGGGUAAUGGCCUACCAAGCCGACGAUCCAUAGCUGGUUUGAGAGGAUGAUCAGCCACACUGGGACUGAGACACGGCCCAGACUCCUACGGGAGGCAGCAGUGGGGAAUCUUAGAAAACGGGGGCAACCCUGAACGAGCCAUGCCGCGUGAGUGAUGAAGGCCUUAGGGUUGUAAAGCUCUUUCAGCUGGGAAGAUAAUGACGGUACCAGCAGAAGAAGCCCCGGCUAACUCCGUG